UCUUAUCAAGAGAGACGGAGGGAUUGGCCCGAAGAUGUCUCAGCAACCAGCCCGAUUUUGGUAUGGUGCUAACUCCAAAAGGCUUAACCGUCUUGAAGAUAAGA
rnacentral:ncRNA from 1 species